rnacentral:rRNA from 1 species
GUCGACGAUGAAGCCCAGCUUGCUGGGCGGAUUAGUGGCGAACGGGUGAGUAACACGUGAGUAACCUGCCCUUGACUCUGGGAUAAGCCCGGGAAACUGGGUCUAAUACCGGAUAGGAGCGCCUGUCGCAUGACGGGUGCUGGAAAGAUCUUUCGGUCAUGGAUGGACUCGCGGCCUAUCAGCUUGUUGGUGAGGUAAUGGCUCACCAAGGCGACGACGGGUAGCCGGCCUGAGAGGGUGACCGGCCACACUGGGACUGAGACACGGCCCAGACUCCUACGGGAGGCAGCAGUGGGGAAUAUUGCACAAUGGGCGAAAGCCUGAUGCAGCGACGCCGCGUGAGGGAUGACGGCCUUCGGGUUGUAAACCUCUUUCAGCAGGGAAGAAGCGAAAGUGACGGUACCUGCAGAAGAAGCACCGGCUAACUACGUGCCAGCAGCCGCGGUAAUACGUAGGGUGCGAGCGUUAUCCGGAAUUAUUGGGCGUAAAGAGCUCGUAGGCGGUUUGUCACGUCUGUCGUGAAAGUCCGGGGCUUAACCCCGGAUCUGCGGUGGGUACGGGCAGACUAGAGUGCAGUAGGGGAGACUGGAAUUCCUGGUGUAGCGGUGGAAUGCGCAGAUAUCAGGAGGAACACCGAUGGCGAAGGCAGGUCUCUGGGCUGUAACUGACGCUGAGGAGCG